rnacentral:rRNA from 1 species
GAGCAUAUCAAUAAGCGGAGGAAAAGAAACCAACAGGGAUUGCCCCAGUAACGGCGAGUGAAGCGGCAACAGCUCAAAUUUGAAAUCUGGCCCUCGGGUCCGAGUUGUAAUUUGUAGAGGAUGCUUUUGGUGAGGUGCCUUCCGAGUUCCCUGGAACGGGACGCCAUAGAGGGUGAGAGCCCCGUCUGGUUGGACACCGAGCCUCUGUAAAGCUCCUUCGACGAGUCGAGUAGUUUGGGAAUGCUGCUCUAAAUGGGAGGUAUAUGUCUUCUAAAGCUAAAUACCGGCCAGAGACCGAUAGCGCACAAGUAGAGUGAUCGAAAGAUGAAAAGCACUUUGAAAAGAGGGUUAAAUAGUACGUGAAAUUGUUGAAAGGGAAGCGCUUGUGACCAGACUUGAGCCCGGUUAAUCAUCCAGCCUUCUGGCUGGUGCACUUGGCCGGCUCAGGCCAGCAUCAGUUCGGCGCGGGGGAUAAAGGCUUCGGGAAUGUGGCUCCUCCGGGAGUGUUAUAGCCCGUUGUGUAAUACCCUGUACUGGACUGAGGUUCGCGCAUCUGCAAGGAUGCUGGCGUAAUGGUCAUCAGCGACCCGUCUUGAAACACGGACCAAGGAGUCGUCCUCGUAUGCGAGUGUUCGGGUGUCAAACCCCUACGCGUAAUGAAAGUGAACGCAGGUGAGAGCUUCGGCGCAUCAUCGACCGAUCCUGAUGUUCUCGGACGGAUUUGAGUAAGAGCAUACGGGGCCGGACCCGAAAGAAGGUGAACUAUGCCUGUAUAGGGUGAAGCCAGAGGAAACUCUGGUGGAGGCUCGCAGCGGUUCUGACGUGCAAAUCGAUCGUCAAAUAUGGGCAUGGGGGCGAAAGACUAAUCGAACCUUCUAGUAGCUGGUUUCCGCG